rnacentral:lncRNA from 1 species
UUCACAUAUUUCUUCUCUACUUUCUAUCUGGAAGUUCCUGGUCAUAUCGGAGCAUCCCUUUGAUUUCCAAACAUUCUAAGGAUCACUUCCCGUCAUUCCCUGUUUACAUGUUGGCUUGGGAUACGGUAAAUUCUUACUGCUUAGUCAGGCAUGCGAUCAAAUGUUGGAUUGUGACUAGAAAAUCCACAUAACCCGUUUUAAUCUGUUUUGUCUGAUAACUUAAACAUUGAGGGUUAACGCGACCGUGUCCUGGAUAUCCUCAGCUCAUUUAAUGGCAAAUGGCCACGACUUAAGCACGGGGUGUAGGCAUACACCUGACAGAUGCUAAUGCUAUUAAAAUAUUUUCUACCCAUAUUGGGGUACCCUUUUAUGGGUUAAAAGCGGUGUGUCGGUUAAUCAUGUUAUUCAGUUUCUGUACAAGGCCUCAUAUGUAUUAACAGGCAUGUAAAACUUUAUACAAGAUAAUUAUUAUUGUCCCAAGUUAUUUAUAAAAUUACAUGUGCCUUUGUGCACUUAAAACAAUUUGGAAUAUUUUCAAAAUGUGUCGGUUACUUGUGUCUACCGAGGUAAACUGACGUAUCUUCAAAAGACUAAGUGACAGGUUGCAAGGUUACAAAAUAGGCUGGAAGUGCCAGUAAUGCUUAAGAGGAAUUUGCGACUCCUUGCAUUAGAAGCCUAUUAGUUUGUUAUUUCAUUUUGUACAUUUACGAUCCGCCUGUGGAUCUUUUGAUACAUUAUCCGUCUGUAUAAUAUUUUGAACACUCGGACAUUUAUAUUGUAAUAUUUUA